rnacentral:rRNA from 1 species
AUUGAACGCUGGCGGCAGGCCUAACACAUGCAAGUCGAGCGACCGGCGGACGGGUGAGUAAUGUAUGGGGACUGCCCGAUAGAGGGGGAUAACUACAGGACACGGUAGCUAAUACCGCAUACUAUCGGAUAACCCAUAUGGGAUUAGCUAGUUGGUGGGGUACUGGCUCACCACGGCGACGAUCCCUAGCUGGUCGGAGAGGAAGAUCAGGCACACUGUGACUGAGACACGGCCCAGACUCCUACGGAGGCAGCAGUUGGGAAUAUUGCACAAUGGGCGCAAGCCUGAUGCAGCCAUGCCGCGUGUAUGAAGAAGGCCUUAGGGUUGUAAAGUACUUUCAGCGGGGAGGCGUUACCCGCAGAAGAAGCACCGGCUAACUCCGUGCCAGCAGCCGCGGUAAUUC